ACGUGAAAUAAAUAUAGUUUCCCUGAUAUCUCUUUCUUUCUCUUUAUUUAAACCUUAUUUUUGAUAUGCUUUAUGUUCUGUCAUCCACUUGUCUAGUUUAGUUAGUGCCUACUGUGUAGAUGUUUAUUUGUUUUACAUUAAUCUGUACCUUUUUUUGUUCAAAUAUGGCUUAACACUGUGCAAACACUUCUACAUGUCACUCCUCUUUUUGGGUUCAU
rnacentral:lncRNA from 1 species